UGGGGGCUGGCUGGGACAGAUCUGGUACAAGCGUUCCUGGCAUCCCGGAGACCUUCAGGAGCCCGUGUUCAGGGGAGAAGGGGCUGGACCUUGCCCCAUGAUUGCUGCAGGGGACACCAGCACCCCCUUCCUGACGUCUCUUUCUUCUCCCAGCACCACUGUUUCUUUGUAAAGUUUUCCUGUUCAUUAAGGAACGAUGGGUACACUGAGCACAGGUCAUGCAGUCAUUUGAAGCAUCCCCCAGCCUCCACCACUCACUGUGAGAUCCUGACCAGUUCUCUGAAAUCCUUGGGGCCACCGUCCCUCCGGGGUCUGCUCACCAGAAUGCAAGUUGGCGGGUGGGCCCUGCUACUGUUGUGGUCCUGUCGCUGGUGGCACUGUGUGGCUUCUGAGCCUCGCUCUUCUCACACACAGUUACGUCUCUAAGGGCCGCGCUCUCUCCUUUACAGGGAGGAUUCCGUGUUGUGGAUCCAGGGCCACCUUGGCUAGAGCCCAGCAUUUUCAGACGCCAGGCACCUGCCGACAUCACAAGAAGGUGAGAGGUAGCGGGGCUUGUGGCAGAGAUGGAACAAGAAGCAAUUAAAAACUGGCCUGGCACGAGGUCACCCCCAGCCUGCACCUUUUCCAACUUCCAAAACUGUCCUUCAUUCUGUCCCUCUUCAGAAAGCAGCUGUGUGACUUUCUCAUCAUCACAAAAUGAAGGCUCUGAAGCCUAUGAUUGUCUUCUAAGCUCUGUCGAAGUCACAUAUGCUCCUCUCUCUUCAUUCGUGACGCCUUCCUGGGGCCCCUCCAGCAGGGCAUGAUGCCAGGUACUCGGGAAGAGGGCGUUCUGCAGGCUGGUUCGUGUAUGCUUCACUGAAGACGGUGACUGGGGCCUCUCACCUAGCCCUGCGCACACCUGCAAGAGCAGGUGUCUGGCUAGUCUUGGGAGGUGCCUGCGAGCUGUACCUGCUAGCAUCUUGCUGCUGGUCUUUCCCUGAAAGGUUUUUGGUUCCAGCAGGAACAGUUUAAGGUCUCAUUGUAAACCAGAAGGACCAGAGCUGUGAGUCACACAGUGUGGAGGGUUGAGUAUCAGGCACUUGCUGGGUGUCCAGUGCUGUGCCAGGCAGGUUACCUGCUACCUGUUUGGUCCCCAAGCCCAGCACUGAGUGGCAUUGUCACACCUGGCUCAGGAGAAACCCUUUCCAAAUCUGCCUUUGGACUCGUUGAGUCCUGGCUGCUACCCUUGGACCUCCCCCUUCUCUGUUCUUCCUUGCCUUUCUGUCCUGUUUCUCAAAACCUGGUCAGCUCGGUGAGAUUCCGAGCAUCCUGCUGUCCUUACGCGACUUUCCAGCCCCCCCUCCCUCUGCUUAAAACCCCUUCUCUUUCACUGGGCAGGGGUGAGGAGAGCCCCGCUUCCAAUGCUCGAGUCCCAGACCUGCCAGCUAGGUCAGUUUUCCUCCAGGACCUGGGGCGGCUCUCCUUCCUGCACGUCCCCAGCUGCCCUCCAGCCAUCUCCGCACACCCAGGCCUGCCGCUGAAAGAACAGCCUCUGCAUCCUAAUCUCUACUCCUUUUCUGAUUUCCAAGAGAAAGGAAAGCCUCAGAAUGUCUUACUGAGCAGCAACAUGGUUUAGUAGCUGAGAUCACAGGCUCUGAAGCCAGAGUGCGUGGGUUUAAAUCCCAGCCGCCACUGACAGGCUGCGUGCCCUCUCUGGUGGAGGAGAAAGGCCUGGAAGGGCCCUGCCGAUGUCACGCCCAUGGCAGUCCGCAGUGGCCCCAGAAGCGCUCAAGUACGUGCCACCACCUUCCAGAAGAAACAGUGGUCGGGUGGUUAAAUCAGUGAGUGAGUGGCGUAGCUUCUUCCGUGGCCUCCAGUUCUCCGAAAUGAGCUCACAGGAACCCUCACUCACUGCGUGCACACGGCUUGGAAGCCUUGUUAGCUGGGGCCAGCUGGCUGGCAUCUCCCUGCCGGUGCCGCUCACGGUGGAGACUAUCUCCUCCACCGCCUUCAUCGCCUGCUUGCUGACGCCUGCCUGCCGUGUCUGCACCACAGCCAGCCUCGGGGGGCACAGCAGGCUGCUCGCCUGCCCCCUGGGCCUGGUCAUGGUCCCCACGUUUGUGCCGAAGCUGGCAGCUUCCUUUCCAAGGAUGAGAAAAGGCCACGACUGUGAGAUUAGCCACCGGAAAUGGACUGAAGAAAACAAAAAUAAAGGCUGGUUUAGACUGAG